GCCAGUGUGGUAUAGUGGUUUGAGCACUGGACUCAAACUCUGGAGAUCAGGGUUCGAUUCCCACUGCCA